GGGGACAUAGCUCAGUGGUAGAGCGCAUGCUUGGUGUGUACAAGGUCCUGAGUUCAAUCCCAAGUGCCUCCA
rnacentral:tRNA from 1 species